CAACACACAACCACAUAACACAACAAAUACACCAUACAUGUUAUACAAAUAGAGGACAUACGCAUACAUCACACACAGAUUUACACACAUGUCACACCACACACAACAAACACACACACACACAUACCAGCAGAGCGCUAGUGCAUUUAGUAUUUUUUGAUUGAGAAAAUGCAUUUCAACAAAAGCUCUAAGAGUUCAGAGUCUUAAAAUAAUUUGGUCUUUCAUUCCUCCCAACAGAAUCUUCAGACAAUUGAAAACCAGCCAUUCAAAGAUGCAUCAAACACGUUCUGUAUUCCAGGCCCAGAUGUGCCCAGGUCUUGGGGAUCCAGGCACCUCAGUGGGAAUGCGGCACAUCCCCGGGCUCUGGAGUGCAAGUGCGGCAACCCCUGGUUCAGGCCACCAUUCAGCUACCUGCUUCCAGUGGAAGAUUGGGCUGGAGCCACUGGUGGCUCCAAGUCCCUCUUGCUCCUCCACUGUUCUUACUCAGGCAUAUGGCUCUCCUCUCCACAUCACAUGCCCGAGGUUGUGUGCAUGUGCACAUUUGUGUUUGUAUGUGUGUCGGGGAGGGAGGCGGGCAUCGUGCCGGCAGUCUCUCACUCUGCCCUAACUAUGAGCUCACAAACCGCCGUCCUGAAGGAUCCCCCUGCAGAGAAACUUCCCGGCCAGCUCCACCCAGAAGAGAGAGCAGAUGGAAACUUGGAGCAAGCCCUCAUCCUGGGUCAGGGAAGAAAAGAUUCUUUCUUUCCCCUUCUCUCUAAAAAUAUGCUCAGGGCUUUUUUGAGCCUUGAUGCAAUAGAAACCAGCUGUGGCCCAGAACGCCCCCGCAGCCUCUGCCCAGGGAAAAGGAAAACAGAAACAGCCGUUGGAGGCGGGAUCAACGCCUGUGUUUGGGCGCCAGGCCCAGCCUCUAGCCACCUCUGACCUGGAAUUGUGUCCCAAAUGGGCACCAAACAGUCCCUGUUUAUUUGUCCUGUUGUGGGUCCAGGAGUCACUUAGCCCUUCCUCUUUCAAUUCUUGGCAUAGAGGAUGAGAAGAGGACAAGAAGUGGGCGUUUCUUAGACUCCGUGCCCAAGUACUUCCCCAUCUCAUGGAGACAGAUGGGCACAUGAGGUAUCCAGAUACAGCCUGAGCCUGCCUCCUCUGGGAGCCUGCGGGAGGGAGAGGCCGUGCCUAACCUGGGGAGCAGGAAGGCUUCCUGGAGGAGGAGGGAAGCACCGACUAAAUACACUCUGCAAUCCCAGAAAACUCAAUGGGCUGAGGCAGGAGGACCUACUGGCCAUUGAAGACUGUCCACUGCUGGUCCAGAUUCCAAGUGACCAGGCAGAAAGAGCAUGGACUUUGGAGUUUGAUUCCCUGGCUUUAAAUCGCCCUGCUCCACUUGCUACCGCAGUGUGGACUCAGAUCCCUUUUCUGCAAAAUGAGGCUGGGAAGUUCUGAGCCAAGCCCAGGCCCACGUGCCUGGAACCAGAGACAGCGUAAGGAGCAGACACUGCCAGGUCACUUGCAGCAGACUCCAGGAGGAAACGAGGAAAACAGAACCUCCGCCGUAGCCCAGCCAGGGCUCUCAGAGCCUGGGAAGCUCUUAGGAGAAGUGGAGAGUUGCUCAGAGCCAAGCUAAUUUGUCAUCUCCAGCCCUUCUCUGGUGAUCAGCUUGUCUCUUCCUCUACCUGCCCUGCUACCUCCUGUGUCUUCUCCUCCCCUCUGUGUCGCAUGCCUUCUGCUUCCUGCGGCCUCUGCCUCCUUGUGAUUUCUCUUGCUGUCCAGUUCCGGUGAGCUCAUGGCUUCUGUAGCCCAGUUUCUCUUUCCUUCCCUCUGUGAAUCUUUCCUGUUUCGACUCUUGCUCCCAACUUCUUAACUUAUACUCAGUGCCCCAGAGGGAGGACUUGAUUGGUUUGGAAGUCCCCCACCAGGACAGGCAGUGGAUUAAGUGAGUUCUUAUAUGAGGUCUCUGAUUCCCUAACUCCAGCUAGGUGUUCAAUUAUUCAGUUCAGUUCUGACACUAACUCCGGGAGUCAGUGCAGACCCCAAAGUUUAGGGCUGAGCCCCACAUGGCUGUCACCCUUCAGCCACCAGUCACAAUCCAGGGACCGUCUGUACAUCUGACCAUCUGGCUCUGAAUUUCAGGGUUCCCAUAACCUCCUCUUCUAGUUAGAUAAUUCACUAGAACGACUCACAAAACUCAGGAAAGUGCUUUACUUACUAUUACCAGUGGAUUAUAAAGGAUACUACUCAAGAACAGACUCAUGGAAGAGAUGCAGAGAACAAAACAUGGGGUGGUUUGCACAAAGCUUCCACGCCCUCCCAGUGAGUCCCCGUGUUCACCAGCCCUGAAGCUCCCAAACCCUGUUGUUUAGGGGUUUUUCUUGCAGUUUCAUUAUGAUUGAUUAAAUCAUUGGCCAUUGACGAUUGAAUUCAAUCUCCAGCCCAUCUUGCCCCCAUGGAGGCUGGGGGUGUGGGGGUAACCAGCCCUCAUCAUGAAGCUCUCUAGGGCUCCUCCAUAAGUCAUCUCAUUAGCAUAUGAAAGGCAAUAUGUUCAAGGGUUUUAGGAGCUCUGUGCCAGGAAUUAGAGACCAAGACCAAAUAUUCAUAUUUUAUACCACACCAGGUUACUUCUCAGCCCACUGGCCAACUUCAAGAUUGGCUGCUCUUAGGUCAAAAUACCCACUUGGCCAGGGGUAAAGAUCACUCAGUAUCAUGUGUGGUGUAAGCUGUUGAGAUUGGGCAUGGACGCUGGCAGGUGACUGACAGGCUGGACAACUGACAGAUGCUCACCUUGGCCAGUGUAGGCACAGAUAGGGCAGGACCCCAUUCCUUUAAGAGUUCCGUCUUCGGAAAUCCCCUCUCCCUGCCUUCUUCCUUCUCUUCAUCCCUUCUUUGCUAUUUUUAAAGGGCAUAUUGGAAAUAAAACAAUUGUCAACAUAUUCAGCCCUCCCGCAGCGGGCUGCCAAUCGGCACAGUCCAUCCUAUGUCCACUUCCAUCCCCUCCACCUUAGCCCUCACCUCCCUCUUUGCUCUUGUCCCCCUGGGCACUCAGGUCUCUGUUAGUUUCUCAAUGGCUUUGCACAUGCUGUUCCCUCUAUUUGGAAUGCUCUUCCCCAUUUCCCACCCCUGGCUGGUUUCUCCUGGCCACCCACUCUGAAUGAUGCUCUCCUCUUACAUAUGUGUCCUGUGUGUUUCCUUACUGAUACUCGUCAGCCUGCUGAUAGACUUAUUUGCACAACCAUUUAAUAAAUCUCUAGACCGUCUGCUCUAGGUGGGCAGAGAUUGGAUCUGUUUUGUCUAGAACAGGCCUGGCUUGGUAGAUAGCUAUUGAAUAAAUGAGUGAAUGGAUGAAUGUCA